GCUCAGAUUGAACGCUGGCGGCAGGCUUAACACAUGCAAGUCGGACGGUAACAUAAAGAAGCUUGCUUCUUUGAUGACGAGUGGCGGACGGGUGAGUAAUGCUUGGGAAUCUAGCUUAUGGAGGGGGAUAACUACGGGAAACUGUAGCUAAUACCGCGUAGAAUCGGGAGAUGAAAGUGUGGGACCUUCGGGCCACAUGCCAUAGGAUGAGCCCAAGUGGGAUUAGGUAGUUGGUGAGGUAAAGGCUCACCAAGCCGACGAUCUCUAGCUGGUCUGAGAGGAUGACCAGCCACACUGGGACUGAGACACGGCCCAGACUCCUACGGGAGGCAGCAGUA
rnacentral:rRNA from 1 species